rnacentral:rRNA from 1 species
CGGGACGGGUGAGUAACGCGUGGGUAACCUGCCUCAUACAGGGGGAUAACAGUUAGAAAUGACUGCUAAUACCGCAUAAGCGCACAAAACCGCAUGGUUUGGUGUGAAAAACUGAGGUGGUAUGAGAUGGACCCGCGUCUGAUUAGCUAGUUGGAGAGGUAACGGCUCACCAAGGCAACGAUCAGUAGCCGACCUGAGAGGGUGACCGGCCACAUUGGGACUGAGACACGGCCAAACUCCUACGGGAGGCAGCAG